UACGAAGGGUGCAAGCGUUAAUCGGAAUUACUGGGCGUAAAGCGUGCGUAGGUGGUUUGUUAAGUCGGAUGUGAAAGCCCUGGGCUCAACCUGGGAAUGGCAUUCGAUACUGGCAAGCUAGAGUUCGGUAGAGGGGUGUGGAAUUCCCGGUGUAGCGGUGAAAUGCGUAGAGAUCGGGAGGAACAUCAGUGGCGAAGGCGACACCCUGGACCAGAACUGACACUGAGGCACGAAAGCGUGGGGAGCAAACAGG
rnacentral:rRNA from 1 species